CUUUACAAGUGGAAAAAUUGAAGAAUUUUUUAUACGACCGCAAAAAUUGAAAAUUUUUUGGUCGUAUAUUGGUAUCAUGUUGGCGUCGUCUGCGUCGUCGUCGUCGUCCGAAUACUUUUAGUUUUUGCACUCUAACUUUAGCAAAAGUGAAUAGAAAUCUAUGAAAUUUUAACACAAGGUUUAUGACCACAAAAGGAAGGUUGGGAUUGAUUUUGGGAGUUUUGGUCCCAACAUUUUAGGAAUUAGGGGCCAAAAAGGGCCCAAAUAAGCAUUUUUCUUGGUUUUCGCACUAUAACUUUAGUUUAAGUAAAUAGAAAUCUAUGAAAUUUUGACACAAGGUUUAUGACCACAAAAGGAAGGUUGGGAUUGAUUUUGGGAGUUUUGUUCCCAACAGUUUAGGAAUUAGGGGCCAAAAAAGGGCCCAAAUAAGCAUUAUUCUUGGUUUUCGCACAAUAACUUUAGUAUAAGUAAAUAGAAAUCAAUGAAAUUUAAACACAAGGUUUAUGACCACAAAAGGAAGGUUGGGAUUGAUUUUGGGAGUUGGGGUCCCAACAGUUUAGGAAUUAGGGGCCAAAAAGGGCCCAAAUAAGCAUUUUCUUGGUUUUCGCAAUAUAACUUUAGUACAAGUAAAUGGAAAUCUAUGAAAUUUAAACACAAGGUUUAUGACCAUAAAAGGAAGGUUGGGUUUGAUUUUGGGAGUUUUGGUCCCAACAGUUUAGGAAUAAGGGGC
rnacentral:lncRNA from 1 species